rnacentral:rRNA from 1 species
UCAGGAUGAACGCUGGCGGCGUGCCUAAUACAUGCAAGUCGAACGAGGGUAGCAAUACGUCGAGUGGCGAACGGGUGAGUAACACGUAGGUAACCUGCCUUACGAGUUUGGGGAUACCCGAGGGAAACCUUGGCUAAUACCGAAUAAUUCUCUGAAGGCAUCUUCGGAAGCUAAAAGGGGCCUUUAAGCCUCGCUGAAUGAUGGACCUGCGGCGCAUUAGCUAGUUGGUGAGAUAAUAGCCCACCAAGGCGAGGAUGCGUAGCCGACCUAAGAGGGUGAACGGCCACACUGGAACUGAGACACGGUCCAGACUCCUACGGGAGGCAGCAGUAGGGAGUUUUCGGCAAUGGGGGAAACCCUGACCGAGCAACGCCGCGUGAACGAUGAAGGUCUUCGGAAUUGUAAAGCUCUGUUGUAAGCCAUGAAUGACAGCUUGAGGAAAUGCAAGUUGUUUGACGACAGCUUACCAGAAAGCCACGGCUAACUACGUGCCAGCCGCGGC